ACAACUUUUAACAACGGAUCUCUUGGCUCUCGCAU
rnacentral:rRNA from 1 species